GACGAACGCUGGCGGCGUGCUUAACACAUGCCAGUCGAACGGAAAGGCCCUGCUUGCCGGGUACUCGAGUGGCGAACGGGUGAGUAACACGUGGGUGAUCUGCCCUGCACUUCGGGAUAAGCUUGGGAAACUGGGUCUAAUACCGGAUAGGAGCCAUCUUUAGUGUGGUGGUUGGAAAGUUUUUUCGGUGUAGGAUGAGCUCGCGGCCUAUCAGCUUGUUGGUGGGGUAAUGGCCUACCAAGGCGGCGACGGGUAGCCGGCCUGAGAGGGUGUACGGCCACAUUGGGACUGAGAUACGGCCCAGACUCCUACGGGGGGCAGCAGUGGGGAAUAUUGCACAAUGGGCGCAAGCCUGAUGCAGCGACGCCGCGUGGGGGAUGAAGGCCUUCGGGUUGUAAACUCCUUUCGCUAGGGACGAAGCUUUGUUGUGACGGUACCUAGAGAAGAAGCACCGGCUAACUACGUG
rnacentral:rRNA from 1 species